UCUUAUGGAUAAGCAGAGAAAGUGGUUUCUUGAGAUGGAAUUUACUUCUGAAGAAGAUGCUGUGAA
rnacentral:pre_miRNA from 1 species